ensembl:piRNA 21ur-5568 ncRNA
UUUCGUUCUGUUUCUUGUGAA